rnacentral:rRNA from 1 species
UGCCAGCCGCCGCGGUAAUACGAAGGGUGCUAGCGUUGUUCGGAAUUACUGGGCGUAAAGAGCAUGUAGGCGGAUGAAUUAGUCAGAGGUGAAAGCCCCGAGCUCAACUUGGGAACUGCCUUGUAAACUCCUGGUCUUGAGUUCGAGAGAGGUGAGUGGAAUUCCGAGUGUAGAGGUGAAAUUCGUAGAUAUUCGGAGGAACACCAGUGGCGAAGGCGGCUCACUGGCUCGAUACUGACGCUGAGGUACGAAAGUGUGGGGAGCAAACAGGAUUAGAUA